UACAGAGGUCCCAAGCGUUGUUCGGAUUCAUUGGGCGUAAAGCGCGUGUAGGCGGCCAGAUAGGUCUGCUGUGAAAACUCGAGGCUCAACCUCGAGCUGUCGGCGGAAACCAUCUGGCUAGAGUCCGGAAGAGGAGAGUGGAAUUCCUGGUGUAGCGGUGAAAUGCGCAGAUAUCAGGAGGAACACCGGUGGCGAAGGCGGGACUCUGGGCCGAUACUGACGCUGAGGAGCGAAAGCGUGGGGAGCAAACAGG
rnacentral:rRNA from 1 species